UCUAUAUAUAGAUGCGCACACACCCUUUCUCUCUUCUUCUUCUUCUUCUUCUUCUUGUAAAGAAGCCAUGGCUGGUAAUUGCAACAGCAAAGCCUCGUGGUGUACUGACAUGCAUGCGCAUUAAUUUGGGGUUUUACGCAGCAUGCAAUCAAUGAAACUUCUUCACCUGUAUAUUAUAUAUAUAGGAGGCAGAGAGGAGGGGGGAUCGCAUUUAUCAACGCUUAGUGGAAUCGAUCACUCACUCACAAACUGGUGUCUGAAGGUGGGAACAUGGGUGCUUGACUACGAACACAAGAGUCCAAAAGAACGCAGCUUGGGUUUAUUGAAGCAGAUACAGCAGCUAAGAGGGACAUCUCAUGCAAGUUCCUUCUGCCCCAUCAUCUCUCUCUCUCUAGCACUAUAUACAGUUUGAUAACAUUAAAUAAUGGAAAUAUAUGUAAUAUAGUAAUGCUGAGGUUUUGGACCGCUCAAUGGUUUUGGCCAUUUUUUUUAUAAUUAUUAUUAAUGUGGGUGUCCGAGUCAA